rnacentral:rRNA from 1 species
CCUACGGGAGGCAGCAGUGGGGAAUUUUGCGCAAUGGGGGAAACCCUGACGCAGCAACGCCGCGUGCGGGACGAAGGCCCUCGGGUUGUAAACCGCUUUCAGCAGGGAAGACUUUACGACGGUACCUGCAGAAGAAGCUCCGGCUAACUACGUGCCAGCAGCCGCGGUAAUACGUAGGGGGGGAGCGUUAUCCGGAUUCAUUGGGCGUAAAGCGGGCGUAGGCGGCCGCCUAAGCGAGAGCUCUAACCCCGGGGCUCAACCCCGGGCGGGGUCCGGGACUGGGUGGCUC